GGUAGCUAAAUGCGGAAGAGAUAAGUGCUGAAAGCAUCUAAGCACGAAACUUGCCCCGGGAUGAGUUCUCCCUGAGACUUAGAGUCUCCUGAAGGAACGUUGAAGACGACGACGUUGAUAGGCCGGGUGUGUAAGCGCAGCGAUGCGUUGAGCUAACCGGUACUAAUGAACCGUGAGGCUUAACCUUACAACGCCGAAG
rnacentral:rRNA from 1 species